rnacentral:rRNA from 1 species
GUAGUCUGCAACCCGACUACACGAAGCCGGAAUCGCAGUAAUCGCGAAUCAGAAUGUCGCGGUGAAUACGUUCCCGGGUCUUGUACACACCGCCCGUCACACCAUGGGAGUCGGAAAUGCCCGAAGUCAGUGACCUAACCGAAAGGGAGGAGCUGCCGAAGGUGGAGCCGGUAACUGGGGUGAAGUCGUAACAAGGUAUC